AUUUAUUUCAGUAUCUUGCCAGCACCCACAGCAUUUAUGAUCUUUGAGGCCACAGUAGAGCAGCAGCACAGAAGGGUGACUAUAGUCAAUAACAAUUUAAUUGCAUAUUUAAAAAUAACUAAAACAAUAUAAUCGGAUUGUUUGUGGCACAAAGGAUAAAUGCUUGAGGGGAUGGGUGCCCCAGUCUCCAUGAUGUGCUUUUUCACAUUGCAUGUCUGUAUCAAAACAUCUCAUGUACCCCACAAAUAUAUACACCUACUCUGUGCCCAUGAUAAUUAAAAAUAAAAAUAAAAAAUUUUUAAUCAGGAAACACUGAUCAUGACCUGUCCUCCCCAGUUCCCUCCCUUCCUGUGUCACAAACCAGGAACCAAAAGGUCUCUGCUCCCCUUACCCUGGCCUGGGUGGCACAGGCCUGUCCUUCCUCUAGCUCUGUCCCUUCUCCCUGCCCUGUUGUCCCCUCAUUCUUCCCCCAAAAUACACUCAAGCCCUCUCUCCUUCAAGGCAGCUGGCAAAUUUUCAAAGUACCUCAAGUUUCUGAUGUAAAACCAGGUUUUCCUUCUGGACAAAAGGAGUGGGGAAGAAAACUGUACUUCUAUUCCUAAGAGAGGGUCUCAGGCCCUUAGAGAGGAAAAGAUUCUGUACUAAAGAUAAUACUGGAAAAAAAUCAACCCAGGGCAGUCACCCGUAGAGCAGAGGUUCUAAUGCUGGCCUCAUACUCAGACCACCAAGGUGGCUCUGGCCCGUCUCCAGGCCCAGGUGUCUUCAAACAGCAGGUGUUUCAGAUGCACAGCCAAGGCUGAGAGGCAUUGUGCUGGAUGUUGGGUCCAGUCUUCUGGGGGCCUACAAGGGGUGAUUAAGUUCCCCUGUCUACCUCAAAAUGUUCUAAUGUUUGUAGAGUUGCUUACUGGGCCAUCUGCAUUACCAAGGAACAGCGAACCAGAAGGCUGAAGUGGCCGACAGUCUGGUUUUAUGAGCCCCCAGGGGAUGUGCCCGGAACUUUGAGAACCAUUGACCUUUACUAACAAGGUAAGGGACAGUGACACAGGAGAGCUUAUCAGACUGAAAACCUGUGAAGUCGUUUCACAUUUCAUCAGCAGUUUAACAGUGACAGGUACUUGUAAAAAGCUCACAAGGUUGAUCUGAGGACUUCACUGGAUCAGUGCCUCCCUAACUUCUGGGUGUUUAGUGUGCGUGCACGUCAUCUGGAGAGCUGCGGAAAAUCCCCAGGAGUGGAUCAUCCAGGGAAGGCCAUGGAAAUCCCCGGGAGUGGACCCAUUCAGAAGGGCGUGAGCUUCCAUGUCCCUAACCUGCUCCCAGGAAAGGCCGUGGAAAUCCCCAGGAGUGGACCCAUUCAGAAGAGGGAGGCACUGAGCUGAUGCCUGGUGGGAUCCCCUACAAACGUGCCCACACUCCACUUUCUAGGAGGCACUGAGCAGACGCCUGGUUGGAUCCCCUGCAAACGUGCCCACACUCCACUUUCUAGGAGGCACUGAGCCGACGCCUGGUUGGAUCCCCUGCAAACAUGCCCACACUCCACUUUCUAGGAGGCACUGAGCUGACGCCUGGUUGGAUCCCCUGCAAACGUGCCCACACUCCUCUUUCUAGGAGGCACUGAGCCGGCGCCUGGUUGGAUCUCCUGCAGCACUUCACCUCUCCCUGGGCCUCAGAUUCCUUAUUUGGAAAAUGAGAACAACUUUGCGAGACUGCUAUGGAUGCCAACACCACAUCCGGCACAGGCGUGGAGGUCUGGGCAGCAGCCUGGGGCUCUCUGGGCCUAACUCUACCUUCCAUUCCCUCUGCCCACUCCUUCUUGUCCCUUCUGGUCUCUGUCCUCAUGGCUCUAGACACUAGUCCCUGUCAGAUGUGCUAGAAGGACCUGAGACAAAUUGAUGGCAGCAAUCUGUUUUGUAACAAUAAAUUGCUAGAACAAUAAAACACAGCCUGGGCACAUCAGAUGCAUGCAAAGGUGUGUAUGCAAAGGACACACCAUUGAGGGCGUUCUCUCCUUCUUUAACACCUUUCCCAAGUUAGGGGGCGGGGGGCAGGUUAACACAAAGCACUCAGAGCAGUGCCUGACCUGCGAAGCACUCCUGCAUGGCAGACUCUGUCUUUACUCUGCUGUGGCCCCCUCCAGCGCUGGUGCAAGCACUGGCCCUGUUCCCAGCCCGGCAGUGCUGUGGAGGUACCUGCAAAGCUGGCGUUCUGCUGUUUUCUCAUGGAGUCAUCAUGGUCAAGUACCAGAGCCUUGUAACCUGAAGUUAUCUUGCUAGGGAAAUACAAAAACGUUUUUUAGGAUGUUGCGCUCGUAAAUCAUCACCAUUCAUUUCCUACAUCAGGAUGGGGAGGUCUCUUGUACAUAAAUGAAUUCACAUAGCCAUGUUCCAGUAACACCAGAUACAAAAGGCCUUGGCCUGACCUCAGCCCAUGAUGGUCCCCUAGAAGAAUAAGAGGCAAACUGGUUGUUGUAAGCCAGGGAGAUUUGCCAUUUGUCACUGCAGUAUCACCUCAUUAUCCUGACCUAUAUGAUUAACCACAGACAUGUACACCCCUUCACUGGACACCCCGCAACUGGCUACCAGAAACCCUAGAGAUAAACAUUUGGCUCACGGUGUAACAGAGGCAUCAGCCUUUAUGUGUGGUGUACACUUUGUAACCUAAUUUCUGGCUCCCUUUUUUUUUUCUCUCUCCUACUCAUACCAUCAUGUGGGGUUUUGUCUAUCCUUACAAAUUGCCUUAAAUUCUUUCUUCUUAGUUUAACUGGCCUGAGGUAGUGGCCUCCCCAUCCUGAUAUAGGAAAUAAGAGUGUAGAGUAUAAACAAAUAAUUUCCUAGAUCUCAAAAGAAAAAUCUUGCUUCUGCCAUUUGAUGACUUAUACACAGCUUAGUCCCAGAGCACAAAUGAAAAGAAAAACAAGGGAGUCAGCAUCUUGCAGCAGCAUCUCCUACUGUCCUUACCCCACACAGUGCACAUGCAGCUUUCUGGGUAGUG
rnacentral:lncRNA from 1 species